GACGAACGCUGGCGGCGUGCCUAAUACAUGCAAGUAGAACGCUGAAGGAGGAGCUUGCUUCUCUGGAUGAGUUGCGAACGGGUGAGUAACGCGUAGGUAACCUGCCUGGUAGCGGGGGAUAACUAUUGGAAACGAUAGCUAAUACCGCAUAAUAUUGACUAUUGCAUGAUAGUCAAUUAAAAGGUGCAAUUGCAUCACUACCAGAUGGACCUGCGUUGUAUUAGCUAGUUGGUGAGGUAACGGCUCACCAAGGCGACGAUACAUAGCCGACCUGAGAGGGUGAUCGGCCACACUGGGACUGAGACACGGCCCAGACUCCUACGGGAGGCAGCAGUAGGGAAUCUUCGGCAAUGGACGGAAGUCUGACCGAGCAACGCCGCGUGAGUGAAGAAGGUUUUCGGAUCGUAAAGCUCUGUUGUAAGAGAAGAACGAGUGUGAGAGUGGAAAGUUCACACNGNGACGGU
rnacentral:rRNA from 1 species